UGGGGAAUAUUGGGCAAUGGGCGCAAGCCUGACCCAGCAACGCCGCGUGAAGGAAGAAGGCUUUCGGGUUGUAAACUUCUUUUGUCAGGGACGAGUAGAAGACGGUACCUGACGAAUAAGCCACGGCUAACUACGUGCCAGCAGCCGCGGUAAUACGUAGGUGGCAAGCGUUGUCCGGAUUUACUGGGUGUAAAGGGCGUGUAGCCGGGAGGGCAAGUCAGAUGUGAAAUCCACGGGCUCAACUCGUGAACUGCAUUUGAAACUACUCUUCUUGAGUAUCGGAGAGGCAAUCGGAAUUCCUAGUGUAGCGGUGAAAUGCGUAGAUAUUAGGAGGAACACCAGUGGCGAAGGCGGAUUGCUGGACGACAACUGACGGUGAGGCGCGAAAGCGUGGGGAGCAAACAGG
rnacentral:rRNA from 2 species